GACGAACGCUGGCGGCGUGCCUAAUACAUGCAAGUCGAACGAACUCUGGUAUUGAUUGGUGCUUGCAUCAUGAUUUACAUUUGAGUGAGUGGCGAACUGGUGAGUAACACGUGGGAAACCUGCCCAGAAGCGGGGGAUAACACCUGGAAACAGAUGCUAAUACCGCAUAACAACUUGGACCGCAUGGUCCGAGUUUGAAAGAUGGCUUCGGCUAUCACUUUUGGAUGGUCCCGCGGCGUAUUAGCUAGAUGGUGGGGUAACGGCUCACCAUGGCAAUGAUACGUAGCCGACCUGAGAGGGUAAUCGGCCACAUUGGGACUGAGACACGGCCCAAACUCCUACGGGAGGCAGCAGUAGGGAAUCUUCCACAAUGGACGAAAGUCUGAUGGAGCAACGCCGCGUGAGUGAAGAAGGGUUUCGGCUCGUAAAACUCUGUUGUUAAAGAAGAACAUAUCUGAGAGUAACUGUUCAGGUAUUGACGGUAUUUAACCAGAAAGCCACGGCUAACUACGUGCCAGCAGCCGCGGUAAUAGGUAGGUGGCAAGCGUUGUCCGGAUUUAUUGGGCGUAAAGCGAGCGCAGGCGGUUUUUUAAGUCUGAUGUGAAAGCCUUCGGCUCAACCGAAGAAGUGCAUCGGAAACUGGGAAACUUGAGUGCAGAAGAGGACAGUGGAACUCCAUGUGUAGCGGUGAAAUGCGUAGAUAUAUGGAAGAACACCAGUGGCGAAGGCGGCUGUCUGGUCUGUAACUGACGCUGAGGCUCGAAAGUAUGGGUAGCAAACAGGAUUAGAUACCCUGGUAGUCCAUACCGUAAACGAUGAAUGCUAAGUGUUGGAGGGUUUCCGCCCUUCAGUGCUGCAGCUAACGCAUUAAGCAUUCCGCCUGGGGAGUACGGCCGCAAGGCUGAAACUCAAAGGAAUUGACGGGGGCCCGCACAAGCGGUGGAGCAUGUGGUUUAAUUCGAAGCUACGCGAAGAACCUUACCAGGUCUUGACAUACUAUGCAAAUCUAAGAGAUUAGACGUUCCCUUCGGGGACAUGGAUACAGGUGGUGCAUGGUUGUCGUCAGCUCGUGUCGUGAGAUGUUGGGUUAAGUCCCGCAACGAGCGCAACCCUUAUUAUCAGUUGCCAGCAUUAAGUUGGGCACUCUGGUGAGACUGCCGGUGACAAACCGGAGGAAGGUGGGGAUGACGUCAAAUCAUCAUGCCCCUUAUGACCUGGGCUACACACGUGCUACAAUGGAUGGUACAACGAGUUGCGAACUCGCGAGAGUAAGCUAAUCUCUUAAAGCCAUU
rnacentral:rRNA from 2 species